rnacentral:rRNA from 1 species
GUUCUGGAUUAUGGCUCAGGGGGAUUGAACGCUGGCGGGAUGCUUUACACAUGCAAGUCGAACGGCAGCACGGACUUCGGUCUGGGUGGCGAGUAAGAACGCGAGUAAUGUAUCGGAACGUGCCUAGUAGCGGGGAUAACUACGCGAAAGCGUAGCUAAUACCGCAUACGCUCCUUCGGGGGAAAGCGGGGACCUCGGGCCUCGCACUAUUAGAGCGGCCGAUAUCGGAUUAGCUAGUUGGUGGGGUAACGUCACCAAGGCGGGACGAUCCGUAGCUGGUUUGAGAGGACGACCAGCCACACUGGGACUGGAGAUUAUGGCCCAGACUCCAUGAGGCAGUGGGGAAUUUUGGACAAUGGGGAAACCCCAGAUCCAGCCAUCCCGCGUGUGUGCGAUGAAGUGGCCUUGCCGUAAGCACCGGCAGGAAAGAAACGGCAUCGGGAUACCCCGUGCAACUGACGGUACCGGCAGAAGCUGGCACCACAACUACAGCCAGCAGCCGCGGUAAUACGUGUGGUAGGGCAAGUGCAAGCGUUAAUCGGAAUUACUGGCGUAAAGCGUGCGCAGGCGGUUGGAAAAGAAAGAUGUGAAUCCAGAGCUUAACUUUGAACUGCAUGAACCGUCGAGCUGGAGUGUCAGAGGGAGGGACCUGCGCAGUGAAAUGCAGAUAUGCGGAGGGAACACCUGAUAGCGAAGGCGUCUUAGAUAAUGCACUGAUUAUAACGAAAGUGGGGAGCAAACAGAGCGAUAUCCAGAAACCAUCGCCUCAAAACGAUGCAGUCAACUAUUGCUGGUGUGUCUGGGGCCUUGUAGUGGUUAAUGUGGUGAAGUUAAUCGCCUGGGGAGCACUGGCGUUCGCAAGAUUGCAAAACUCAAAGGAAUUGACGGGGACCCGCACAAGCGGUGGAUGAUGGAUUUAAAUUGAUGCAACGCGAAAAACCUUACCUAAUUCCUUAUUAUUGCCCGGAAUCCUCGAAGAUUUGGGAGUGCUCGCAAGAGAACCGGAACACAGGUGCUGCAUGGCUGUCGUCAGCUCGUGUCGUGAGAUGUUGGGCGUUGUCCCCGCAACGAGCGCAACCCGCCGCUGAAGCUACGCUGAAAGGGCACUGCACGAGACCGCUGGCAAACCGGAGGGGAAGGUGGGGAUGACGUCGUCCAUGGCCCUGGCGGUAGGGCUUCACACGUCAUACAAUGGUCGGGACAGAGGGCUCAACCCGCGAGGGGGAGCCAAUCCCAGAAACCUUCCGAUCAGUCCGGAUCGUGAGUCUGCAAUCUCCGACUGGCAGUCGAACGCUGGCAAUCGUGACCAUGUCGCGGUGAAUACGUUCCCGGGCUCCAGAAGACACCGCCCGUCACACCAUGUAGAGGGGUUUUACCAGCGGAAGGCCUUAACGUGUGAGUGGCGAUUACCACGGUAGGAUUCAUGACUGGGGUGAAGUCGUAACAAGCGUAA